rnacentral:rRNA from 1 species
CCUACGGGAGGCAGCAGUGAGGAAUAUUGGUCAAUGGACGAGAGUCUGAACCAGCCAAGUAGCGUGAAGGAUGACUGCCCUAUGGGUUGUAAACUUCUUUUAUAUGGGAAUAAAACGUUCCACGUGUGGGAUUUUGUAUGUACCAUAUGAAUAAGGAUCGGCUAACUCCGUGCCAGCAGCCGCGGUAAUACGGAGGAUCCGAGCGUUAUCCGGAUUUAUUGGGUUUAAAGGGAGCGUAGGUGGAUUGUUAAGUCAGUUGUGAAAGUUUGCGGCUCAACCGUAAAAUUGCAGUUGAGACUGGCAGUCUUGAGUACAGUAGAGGUGGGCGGAAUUCGUGGUGUAGCGGUGAAAUGCUUAGAUAUCACGAAGAACUCCGAUUGCGAAGGCAGUUCACUGGACUGCAACUGACACUGAGGCUCGAAAGUGUGGGUAUCAAACAGGAUUAGAUACCCUAGUAGUC